UGAGGUUUUCGCCGUCGUUUAAUUUCACUCGCUUUUGAUCUCGCCGUCUGCGAAGGGGAAAUUUUUUCCUGAAUCUUUUUUGGAUCACAAAAUGGAUGAUUUGACGCCUAGUACCAAGGAAUUCGCUGCUGCUAUUUCCACGAAUCAAAUUUCUGCUUGAGUUGUGAAAACAAAAGGUUACUGUUCAAGAAUGGGAGAUUGAAGAAUAGGGAUUUGCCCUUACUUAUCUUUUUGUAGAAUGGAAGGCAAUCUCAGGUGAUUGAUCUUGCCUCCACAAUUGUUGUGCAAGUGUGCAACAAUUCUGAAAUAACUGGUUGAUACGAAAUGGCGACUGAUGUUGAUCAGACUUUUUAUGGAUGGUCUCAGGAUGAGUCAUCUGAUCAAGAUGGUUCUCAAGAAGCUUCGGUCUCCCAAAUGCUUGAUCACGGGUCUAUAUCCUUUGGAAGAUUUGCAAGUGAGCCAUUGUCAUGGGAGAGAAGGUCAGUCUUCGCUCAUGACAGACGUCAGGAGGAACUGGAGAAAGUUAAUGGCUUAGUUGCCAAAAAGAAAGCAUUCUUUGAAGAAUAUUACAAAAGGCUUCGAGCUUUGAAGGCCUUGCAACAGAAUCAGCCAACUGAGCUCACAUUGGAUUAUGGUGGUGAUGGUAGUAAUUCUAGCCAGACUGGAGAAGAUGAUGAAACAGCUUUGCAGGUUGGAACUCUUCGAGAUGAGGCAGCAGAAACUAUUGAUGCCUCUUCAGGGGAACCUGCAAAUGAACUUACCUUCACGCAAGAUAUGAAUUGCAGCGAAGAUCUUCAAACUAGACAGUUGUAUCCAGCAUCCACAACAUCAGAUAUUGACUCAUUGAGAAAAAAUAUAGAAAAAAUCGAGCUGGAGAAAAACUCUAACCAUGCUGUGCGGACGCAGGACUUGGAGACAGAAUCCUUAUUGCCAGUAACUAGGAGCACAGAAGAAAUUGAACAGAACUAUAUCAGUAGUGUUGAUGACAAAGAGAUUCUGAGGGAACAAGAGAGUUCAGUGUCUAAUGUUGAACCUGGACCUGCUCCCGAUGGGUCUGUCUCAAACCUGACAAAUUCAAGAGCCAGUGAAUCUCAGCUUGCACCAGAUCACAACUUAAUACCAAACAAAACCAAACUGGCUGUUGAGAAAUCUCCAGACUGUAAAUCAGAUCCUGAAGUGAAGAAGGAGCGUGCUGCUUCUGUUAGGACUGGCCUGGAGCUAACACAUGGAACAAGGAGAGAAGUGGUUAAGUCAUCGAGGGGAGCCGAACAUCCAGGACAGAAGCUUAUUGGCAAGGCAGAUAGCAAUCCCCAUUCAGGCAAAGCAAUUGCCAGUAAAGGCACAGGCAACAAUACAUCUGCCUCAGUUGCUUCGCGUAGGUCAGUUACAGAAGUACGUUCCAGUAUUACUAGCGCACCACCAUUUUCUCUUUCCCUGGAAAGAAGAUCAGGCAUUAGGGAAAGUGCGGUGAGAUCGGAAUCCAAAACCUCCAACAGAUUAGCAUCAUUGCAAAAUCGGGAAAAUGGCGGGUCAAGUGUGCAGGGUGGUACAAAGAAGACAAUUGCAACCUGUUGCGUGAAGAGCCGAGGACUACAAAAUAAAAGGGACUGCAAAGAAGUGAUAAAAAAUCUUUGCCAUCGGAGAGCCAGGUGACCAGCCUGAAGGGCAGAGAUGCGCAUGUUCUCAGACAAUCCAAGUCAAGAUCAAAUAACCUUCCUGUGAGGAACAAGUCUAACUCUGAUGGUGGAUCUGAAGUACAGUUCAUGAAUACCAUCCAAAGGAACAAACCAAAGGAGGAAAAAGGGGACAUAAGGUUGAAGGAGCCUCGAGGACCUACUAAGAAGAUCGUUACUCCUGUCACUGGAAAUCCUGGGACACGGUAUAAAAAUGCAUUUCAAUCCUGGACUGGUGUGCAAUCAAAUGGUGGGAGGAAAUCCCAAGCCAAUAGUAUGUCACUGGAUGGGAGGAAGCCAAAGCGUGGAACACCACCGUGGCGAUGACUUAUCUGAAGAUGCAAAGCCUCGGGCUUUCUGAUUAGUAGGAACAUUGCAUCUGAUAGCUGCAUUCAUGCAUGUGAAGUAGUAUCAGUACCUGUCUACUGAGUAUUGUUGUAAUAUCUCCGCUGAGUGUUGUUAUAAUGCCUUAUUUCUCUCGUAGUUACCAUGGCUGCUGCUGCUGAACGGUGUCAAUCUGUAGUUAGUUCUUGAGUUGCUUUAGAGAGGUGGUCCUGUUGCUAGAAGUGCCAUCAGAUAUUCUAAAGAUAGUGUAUAGCUAAAAGGGAAAUGGAUGGACUUAGAGAAAUAGAGGUUGAACAUACUAGAUUGUGAAACUUCUAGUUUUGAUUGAUGUGCUCUGCUUUAUGGUGGUCAUUCAAAUGGAUUUCCCGACCUGCAGCCCAAGCAAACAAAAUAAGCUGGCUAAAAGUGUACUCUAUUUCAGGAAUAAAGUCUCUUGAUGCUUGGGAGAAAGGGUUGUCAUUGGUGCAAUUCUUUUAAAAUGAAGCUCCACAAAGAACAACUUUCAUCGAUAAGGUUGGUAAAUCAGUUUGUUCCAAAUUGUGCUUCACAUGUUCUUCGUGCAAUCGAUGAAAAUUUUAUUGAUUGUUAAUAUAAUCAGUACAACAUUCUAAGAUAUACUUUUCGACU